rnacentral:rRNA from 1 species
GAUGAACGCUGGCGGCGUGCCUAAUACAUGCAAGUCGAGCGAACGGACGAGAAGCUUGCUUCUCUGGUGUUAGCGGCGGACGGGUGAGUAACACGUGGAUAACCUACCUAUAAGACUAGGAUAACUUCGGGAAACCGGAGCUAAUACCGGAUGAUAUUUUGAACCGCAUGGUUCAAAAGUGAAAGACGGUCUUGCUGUCACUUAUAGAUGGAUCCGCGCUGCAUUAGCUAGUUGGUAAGGUAACGGCUUACCAAGGCAACGAUGCAUAGCCGACCUGAGAGGGUGAUCGGCCACACUGGAACUGAGCCACGGUCCAGACUCCUACGGGAGGCAGCAGUAGGGAAUCUUCCGCAAUGGGCGAAAGCCUGACGGAGCAACGCCGCGUGAGUGAUGAAGGUCUUCGGAUCGUAAAACUCUGUUAUUAGGGAAGAACAUAUGUGUAAGUAACUGUGCACAUCUUGACGGUACCUAAUCAGAAAGCCACGGCUAACUACGUG